AUGGAUUGGACUGAAGGAAGAACAUGGAUCAACAGAUGAUGGUUAAGCCCUCAAAGCCAAGAACUCGCCUAUACAAGUUAUGGUAUGUCGAAGCAACUUACCGGAUUGAAGCUCCGACGCGGAGAUUCUUCGGCGGCAACAGGUUGGUUUAAGUGGAAUUGCUAUUAAAAUGAAGGAUGACCUGCUGAGCAGGUUUUGAUGAUUAGUGCAAUGGAGUCAAGCCAGGUUGUUUUAGUGAAAUGGUGAAGUAUAGUGUUAAUGGCUGUAGCAGGUUGGUGUCUUGAAGGGUGGUUACUCUGUUAGGUUUGAGAGGUUGGAAGGCAUUGAGUUUGUUAGGAGUAUUGGAUAUGCUGCAGAUUGAAGGGUUGGGUUGCGACAUGCUUUGGCCAUGUAGUCACGACUAGCGUUUUUAGGCUACCGAGAAACCGGACAAGGGUUUGGUUAAGAGCAUUUGACACAGCUGAAGCUACUGCAAUUGUACAGCAGCACAUACUAAGAGGUUAAUGUGCUCACUUGAAUUCUCCUGAUUUAAAGCAUUUGAUUCGCGAUGUCGUCGAUUGGAACAAUUGCCUCACUUGUUGAAGCAAAAGUUCAAGCAUUAUCACAACCAGGCGUUCCCUCUGCUUCUUCUAAUUCUCAUAGAAAGCAUGGUGAUUCACUAGAUGGAUUGAAAAUGGAAUUGAAACCAUGAAGGAGUUGAAGGUUUGGUAUUUGGAAUGACGACGACUUGAAGAUCGAUGAAAAAUGCAGGUGGUGAAUUUUGAAUCUUGCGAAUAAGCUGCACCAAGGUAAACUGAAAGUGUUUAGAUUGUGAGCUCAAUGGAUUGGUGGUUGAAACUCUUUUAAACUCAAUGCUGGUUGGUGUUAGUAAUGGUUAAAUGUUAAAUUGCUUAUUGAAAUUAUGUUUAUGCAGGUUAGUACAAUGCGUUCUCCGUUUCUGUUAUGAAAGUGGGAUGGUGUUUCUGUUGCAGUUUUGCUGUUGUUGCGGUCUUGUUGCUCGUGACGGCUUCAGCUUGCGCGUUACAGCUAGUUUGCAUGGCUUUCGGUAGCUGGAGCUUGUUGCGUUUUCUGUUGCAUUUCAGCCUGCAGCUUUGAUGGUAGCUAUUUCUCGUCGCCGAUGAUAUGCAGCUUUUGGAUUGUUGUUGCGGUUUGUUCUGCGUUAUGUCUCGGUUGCCGGUGUUUUUAUGCUGCUGUUGUUUUCAUUUUAUGCAGGGUUAUGUUUGAUUUGGCGGUUAGCUCGUAGUGUUGCCAGAACUUGAGUCAAUUGUGGAGUUUGUUUGUGUUGUUAAUUUGGAGCAUAUUAAUCAAUGAUCCUGUUAAUGACUAUGCACUAUGUUAUUUUGUUAAGUUAAUUUCUUCGCAAUUCCUGUUAACUAAAAAAACAUUACUAUUAGUAGAUAUCUAUUACUGUCAUUAGAAGUCAGCUAGAAAUUGCAAGUGCAGCCCUGUUAUUGAUGUUGUGCUGCUCAGGAGGGAAUUGCAAUGUUAUUAUGCGU